AGUAACUGCCACAGACAACUCAACAUGGAGCUGGGUCUGUGCUGGGUUUUCCUUGUUGUUCUCUUAAAAGGUGUCCAGUGUGAGGUGCAGCUGGUGGAGUCUGGGGGAGGCUUGGUGCAGCCUGGGGGGUCCCUGAGACUCUCCUGUGCAGCCUCCGGAUUCACCUUCAGUAGCUCUGGCAUGCACUGGAUCCGCCAAGCUCCAGGGAAGGGGCUGGAGUGGGUGGCAGUUAUAUGGUAUGAUGGAAGUCAACAAAAAUAUGCAGAGUCUGUGAAGGGCCGCUUCACCAUCUCCAGAGACAACUCCAAGAACAUGCUGUACCUGCAAAUGAGCAGCCUGAAAGCAGAGGACACCGCCGUGUAUUACUGUGCAAGCCACAGUGAAUGGACUUCAGUCCCAGCCCAGACACAAACCUGCCUGCAAAUGUCAAACACUGCAGUGCGUCACACCUCGCCUGCUCCCAUUAGAGGAAGGGGGUCCUGAACACAGCAACAGCCAGGUUCACUCUGCACAAGAUAUGAACCAGAGGACACUGAGAGAGAGGAAGAAACGAUAA